UCUCCUACGGGAGGCAGCAGUGAGGAAUAUUGGUCAAUGGACGAGAGUCUGAACCAGCCAAGUAGCGUGCAGGAUGACGGCCCUAUGGGUUGUAAACUGCUUUUAUGUGGGAAUAAAUAAGAUUACGUGUAAUCUGUUGCAUGUACCACAUGAAUAAGGACCGGCUAAUUCCGUGCCAGCCGCCGCGGUA
rnacentral:rRNA from 1 species